rnacentral:rRNA from 1 species
UAGCGGAGGAAAAGAAACCAACCGGGAUUGCCUCAGUAACGGCGAGUGAAGCGGCAAGAGCUCAAAUUUGAAAGCUGGCUCCUUCGGGGUCCGCAUUGUAAUUUGCAGAGGAUGCUUCGGGUGCGGCCCCUGUCUAAGUGCCCUGGAACGGGCCGUCAGAGAGGGUGAGAAUCCCGUCUGGGAUGGGGUGUCCGCGCCCGUGUGAAGCUCCUUCGACGAGUCGAGUUGUUUGGGAAUGCAGCUCUAAAUGGGUGGUAAAUUUCAUCUAAAGCUAAAUACUGGCCGGAGACCGAUAGCGCACAAGUAGAGUGAUCGAAAGAUGAAAAGCACUUUGAAAAGAGAGUUAAAAAGCACGUGAAAUUGUUGAAAGGGAAGCGCUUGCGACCAGACUCGCCUCCAGGGUUCAGCCGGCAUUCGUGCCGGUGUACUUCCCUGGGGGCGGGCCAGCGUCGGUUUGGGCGGCCGGUCAAAGGCUCCCGGAAUGUAGUGCCCUCCGGGGCACCUUAUAGCCGGGAGUGCAAUGCGGCCAGCCUGGACCGAGGAACGCGCUCGGC